AGAGUUUGAUCAUGGCUCAGAUUGAACGCUGGCGGCAGGCCUAACACAUGCAAGUCGAGCGGUAGCACAAGAGAGCUUGCUCUCUGGGUGACGAGCGGCGGACGGGUGAGUAAUGUCUGGGAAACUGCCUGAUGGAGGGGGAUAACUACUGGAAACGGUAGCUAAUACCGCAUAACGUCUUCGGACCAAAGUGGGGGACCUUCGGGCCUCACGCCAUCAGAUGUGCCCAGAUGGGAUUAGCUAGUAGGUGGGGUAAUGGCUCACCUAGGCGACGAUCCCUAGCUGGUCUGAGAGGAUGACCAGCCACACUGGAACUGAGACACGGUCCAGACUCCUACGGGAGGCAGCAGUGGGGAAUAUUGCACAAUGGGCGCAAGCCUGAUGCAGCCAUGCCGCGUGUGUGAAGAAGGCCUUCGGGUUGUAAAGCACUUUCAGCGAGGAGGAAGGGUAGUGUGUUAAUAGCACAUUGCAUUGACGUUACUCGCAGAAGAAGCACCGGCUAACUCCGUGCCAGCAGCCGCGGUAAUACGGAGGGUGCAAGCGUUAAUCGGAAUUACUGGGCGUAAAGCGCACGCAGGCGGUUUGUUAAGUCAGAUGUGAAAUCCCCGCGCUUAACGUGGGAACUGCAUUUGAAACUGGCAAGCUAGAGUCUUGUAGAGGGGGGUAGAAUUCCAGGUGUAGCGGUGAAAUGCGUAGAGAUCUGGAGGAAUACCGGUGGCGAAGGCGGCCCCCUGGACAAAGACUGACGCUCAGGUGCGAAAGCGUGGGGAGCAAACAGGAUUAGAUACCCCGGUAGUCC
rnacentral:rRNA from 1 species